GACCAUAAGAGGAAAAGCUUUGGAAGAUUUGACAUCGUCUCCAGUUCUCUGCUCACACAGUUGAUCAGAAAAACGUUUUUCUCUUCACGAUGCAGUUUUUUGGCGCUCUGAUCCUCUUUAUGACUCUGUCUGCAGCAUGUGGAUUACGAUGCUACACAUGCACAGCAACCGACCCCUACUCCUGCACAGCCUUCACAACUUGUCCCGCGACUUCUGACCGUUGUUUCUCUCUCAGAGAAGGUGGUUAUUUCAGGGUUACCAGGGGCUGCCAAACCAGCUCAGCAUGUGAGGGUGCCAUGGUUUGCUGCACGCAGGACUUGUGUAACGGAGCCAUGUUAUUUCUUCCCAGACCCAGUCUUGUUAGUGCCAGUGUCAUAUCCACUGGCCCCAGUGUCUUCUUCCUGCUGGUAUCUUCAGCCAUCAUCACACUCUUCCCCUGAGGCUCUGGGAUUUUGUUAUUUCAGUGCACCUCUUUUCCAGCUCCAAACUGCAGAAGAAGAAUAAACAACUUCAAUAUUAAGCUGCUUUUACAUUAACAUCUAAAGUCAGAUUUUUUUGAGUGUGGCCCUGAUUAUCUGGUGCAAAAAAUAUCAUCUGCUUAAUUAGCAAUUUUGUCUUACUUGGGCUUAUGCUGAGCUCGUAUGUUUUGACACUAUUUUACUUCUCUUUUACUCUGUAUCUCUGAAGAUUCAAGAUAAAUAAUAAUUGUAUUUCAAAUCUCGUAAAUGUUUUGGCUUGCAUGACUAUGUAAUCUCAAUUUUAUUUUGGGAAUAAAAAUAUUUCACGGUUUA